AUGACUCUGAUAUGGAUCACAGUCUUUAUUCUUCAUCAAGGAUAUGCCUUAGUUCCUGUGGUCACUGUUCAGCUUGGCGAACCUGUAACUUUUACUUGUGCAAAUAUGGAGUCCAGAGCAUGGAUUCACUGGUACAAGCAAACUUCUGGAGAUACUCUGAAAAUGAUUGUAAAGGAUAUAAACAAACUAAAUCCCAAUUAUAGCCCAGAAUUCCCUUCUUCAAGAUUCAAAUUUACAAAUGAUGGUAAAAUAAUUAACCUCACAAUUCUGAAGACAGUUCAACAAGACGAGGGAAUGUAUCACUGUGCUCUUACAGACUGGGGAGAGUCUACUUGGAUGGGGACGUAUUUGAUGGUAAAAGGAAACUCAAAGAAGACAUCCAGCUACACUGUUGUUCAGCAGUCAACAGCCCCAGAGAUC